rnacentral:lncRNA from 1 species
GACAAUAUAAAUACCUGAGAAGAGACCUAAUUCUGGGGAUUGGAGCCGGAAAAAUACAGAAGAGUUAUAGAGAGCAGCUGGCCAAAAAAAAGAGGGUAGAAUUGGAGAUUUGAAUUGGCGGCUGCUGAGGGCGAAUAGAGGAGAAUCUGGAGACGAAUUGGGGAAAGAGCCGCCUUAAAUUACAGAACAAAAGGGGACAUUCUGGAGAGGAAGCUGAGAUUUUUAGCUAGCAACUUCAAGAGAAAGAGAAGGGAAUAUAUUCAGCCGGCUGGAAAAAUUUGAAGUGGGCUCAAGUCUCAACAUACUGUUCGAAAAAUCAAUUGAAAGGCAUGGAAAACUCGAGGGAGAACUUGAUUAACACUUAAUUUUUCUUUCUUCAUCAUUUUUUCUAUUAUAAUUUGUAUGAAUUUCAUGAAUUAUAUUAUGUGCUAAACAAAUUAUCUAGGGUUGAUGUAGCUGAACUCGAUAUUAUGGUUUGAUGAAUUUCA